rnacentral:rRNA from 1 species
UAGAAUAUAAAUUGAAGGUAGGUUCUGCCCUAUGAUUUAAUUUAAAUGGCUGCAGUAUAUUGACUGUGCAAAGGUAGCAUAAUAAUUAGUCUUUUAAUUGGAGGCUUGUAUGAAUGAAUAAAUGAGGAAUUUAUUUUAUUAUUUUUAUUAUUUGAAUUUAAUUUUUAAGUAAAAAAGCUUAAUUUAUUUUUUGGGACGAGAAGACCCUAUAGAAUUUUAAUUUUUUAUUUUAAUUGAUUUUUAGUUUAGUAUAAUUUUUUUAAUGAUAUUUUAUUUUUAUUGGGGUGAUAGAUAAAUUUGACUUUAUUUUUUAAAUACAUUUAUUAAUGUAAUUUUGAUCCAUAUUAAUGAUUACAAGAUAUAAUUACCUUAGGGAUAACAGCGUAAUUUUUAUGGGGAGUUCAUAUUUAUAUAAAAGUUUGCGACCUCGAUGUUGAAUUAAGAUAAAUUUAUGGAGCAG